rnacentral:rRNA from 1 species
GCUCGUGUCGUGAGAUGUUGGGUUAAGUCCCGUAACGAGCGCAACCCUUGUCCUUAGUUACCAGCACGUUAUGGUGGGCACUCUAAGGAGACUGCCGGUGACAAACCGGAGGAAGGUGGGGAUGACGUCAAGUCAUCAUGGCCCUUACGGCCUGGGCUACACACGUGCUACAAUGGUCGGUACAAAGGGUUGCCAAGCCGCGAGGUGGAGCUAAUCCCAUAAAACCGAUCGUAGUCCGGAUCGCAGUCUGCAACUCGACUGCGUGAAGUCGGAAUCGCUAGUAAUCGUGAAUCAGAAUGUCACGGUGAAUACGUUCCCGGGCCUU